UUUAAAAAUAUAAGGAAAAAUUUCACAUAUCACCCACGUGGUUUCACAUUUUCUCAUUUUAAUAUCCUGUGGUUAAAAAUAUAUUAAUUUAGUGUCCUGUGGUUUUAUUUUUAUCUUUUUGUUAGAUGUUUCGUUAAUAUUUUGUUAAAUUAUAUACAAUACUUUCAGACACACUUAAUUAAUACAUUUUAAACCAUAGAGCACUAAAAUAAAAAGCGCGAAAUCACAUGGGUGGUACUUAAAAUUUAUCCAAAAUAUAAAGAUAAUAUUGCAUAAGCAGAUGUAGUUUAGAA
rnacentral:lncRNA from 1 species